rnacentral:rRNA from 1 species
UACGUAGGGAGCAAGCGUUGUCCGGAAUCAUUGGGCGUAAAGCGCGCGUAGGCGGCUUCGCCAGUCGGGUGUGAAAGCCCGGGGCUCAACCCCGGAACGGCACCCGAUACUCCGAGGCUCGAGACCGGGAGAGGAGGGUGGAAUACCCAGUGUAGAGGUGAAAUUCGUAGAUAUUGGGUGGAACACCGGUGGCGAAAGCGGCUCUCUGGCCCGGUUCUGACGCUGAGGCGCGAAAGCGUGGGGAGCAAACAGG